UACGGAGGGAGCUAGCGUUGUUCGGAAUUACUGGGCGUAAAGCGCGCGUAGGCGGCUUUGUAAGUUAGAGGUGAAAGCCCGGAGCUCAACUCCGGAACUGCCUUUAAAACUGCAUCGCUUGAAUCCAGGAGAGGUGAGUGGAAUUCCGAGUGUAGAGGUGAAAUGCGUAGAUAUCAGGAGGAACACCUGUGGUGUAGACAGCUUACUGGACCACUUCUGACGCUGAGACACGAAAGCGUGGGUAGCAAACAGG
rnacentral:rRNA from 1 species